rnacentral:pre_miRNA from 1 species
AGUGGAAUAGCUGGGUCAUAUGGUGGUUCCAUCCUAGUUUGUUGAGGAAUCCUCAUACUGCUUUCCAGAGUGGUUGUACUAGUCUGCAGUCCCACCAGCAGU